UUGAACGCUGGCGGCAUGCCUUACACAUGCAAGUCGAACGGUAGAGGGGCAACCCUUGAGAGUGGCGAACGGGUGAGUAAUAUAUCGGAACGUGCCCAGUCGUGGGGGAUAACGCAGCGAAAGCUGCGCUAAUACCGCAUACGAUCUAUGGAUGAAAGCGGGGGAUCGCAAGGCCUCGCGCGAUUGGAGCGGCCGAUAUCAGAUUAGGUAGUUGGUGGGGUAAAAGCCCACCAAGCCGACGAUCUGUAGCUG
rnacentral:rRNA from 1 species